GCCAGAGCCAUAUCACUCUGCAGCUCUCGCCUGGUUUCCCACUGAAGUUAAGCAGGUUUGAACCUGGCCAGUACCUGGAUUCGAGACCUCUUGGGGAACACUAAGGUUGCUGCUGGAA
rnacentral:rRNA from 1 species